AAGAUUCCCUGGGCUGGAUGUGGAGGUCAUGUUGAGUAACCGGUGAAGAAUCAGGCAGUCUGGAGGUACAAGGUCUGAUUUACCAGGGGACAAGCUGGAAACAAUUAUGACAUUGAAGCCCAGAGACGGUACUGACUUAAACUUGCAGCACAGCCGAGAAGGGAACCUGGGUAUAAUGCUCCUUAGGUUACACCAGACAGAUCUUUCCCAGGGGUUCAUGUUGAUAUUCAGGCACAUGCACUCCCAUCUUCAAAUGCAGAACUGAGAAUGAGUUGAGUACAGGCUGGUGAGAUAUUGGAAUCUCCCAUACUGAACUGACUUUUGGUCAGAACCUGAAGAGCUAUGGAAUUUGCUGUGAAAUUGCCACUUCCUAUUUAUUAAUGAAGGUUGAAGGACAAUAGUCCUUGCUAACUGGAACUUUCUCUACCCUAUGCUACUAACUCCUCAACCAUGAUUCCAGGGUUACUUAAUGUUCCUUUCCCCUAAUUAUAGUGACCACACCCAUAUCUUAAGCUACAUUUUGUUUGUUUGUUUGUUUAUUUGUUUGUGGUACGCGGGCCUCUCACUGUUGUGGCCUCUCCAGUUGCAGAGCACAGGCUCCGGACGCGCAGGCUCAGCGGCCAUGGCUCACAGGCCCAGCCGCUCCACGGCAUGUGGGAGCUUCCUGGACCGGGGCACGAACCCGUGUCCCCUGCAUCGGCAGGUGGACUCUCAACCAUUGUGCCACCAGGGAAGCCCUUAAGCUACAUUUUAAAUCCCACAUUGGUUGACUUCAGACUCAUCUCAGGAAUAAAAUGGACAGAGAUGACAUGUGUGGACACUUGUACAAUACUGUUGACAACAUAUUACAUUUAGUUGUCACUUUUGUUUUUAUUUUCAGCAUUUCUUCCAGGGUACUUUAUUUUUAUGGCAAAUAUCUGGAUACUAGAAUAAAAAAAAAAAAUCACUAGGUUUCCAGCAUCUGGUUAUCAGGCCCCGCUUUUCUUAAGUUCUAGGAGGAAAAUGUUUUUCUCUCACUAUUACUAAAAAUCGAUUCUCUUUAGUGAUUU